CUGACCCUCUGUUCUCCUGUGCUUAAGGACUCGUAGUACGGAGAUCCGGCAGCUCGAGUGGUCCGCAGUGUCUGCCGGCCAGCUCUGGAAUCUCC